rnacentral:rRNA from 1 species
GAUCCUGGCUCAGGAUGAACGCUAGCUACAGGCUUUAACACAUGCAAGUCGCGGGGCAGCAUUUUCCUAGCUUGCUAGGGAGAUGGCGACCGGCGCACGGGUGAGUAACGCGUAUCCAACCUUCCCAUGUCCACGGGAUAGCCCGUCGAAAGGCGGAUUAAUACCGUAUGAGGUCACAUGCGGGCAUCUAAAUGUGACGAAAGGUUUUGCGGACAUGGAUGGGGAUGCGUCCGAUUAGCUGGUUGGCGGGGUAACGGCCCACCAAGGCGACGAUCGGUAGGGGUUCUGAGAGGAAGGUCCCCCACAUUGGAACUGAGACACGGUCCAAACUCCUACGGGAGGCAGCAGUGAGGAAUAUUGGUCAAUGGACGCAAGUCUGAACCAGCCAAGUAGCGUGCAGGAUGACGGCCCUAUGGGUUGUAAACUGCUUUUAUGCGGGGAUAAAGUGAGGGACGUGUCCCUUUUUGCAGGUACCGCAUGAAUAAGGACCGGCUAAUUCCGUG